rnacentral:tRNA from 1 species
GGCCCCGGCACCUUUAUGGGGUGCGUUGCCGAAUUUGCACUUCGGUGUACUGACCACGGGGCCUG